AAAAGACUGAGAAGUUUUUCUUCAGCUAAUUACUUUUCUACAACAAAUAAUCAACUAAUGACUCGUAAAUUGUCAUACAAACCACUCAUAUCAGAAUAACUUAUAUGCGGUUCUUUUCAUUUUAAACCGCACAAUACAAAGUUUCAGAUGGAGAAAUAAAACUGAGAAGUUUUUCUUAAGCUAAUUACAUUUCAACAACCAACUAGUUACUACUAAAGUGAUUUAAAGUGGCUGAAAAAUGUUUCCUUAUAUUCUUUCCACAAUCCAAGAAAUAUCCUUUGAGAAUACAUGUAGAGAGCACGAA